rnacentral:misc_RNA from 1 species
AUCAAGCUUUGUAUUUUCCAAACGCUGAGUAAACAUAAGUAUAGUUAUACAUCUAAACCAGAUGAUGCAUUUGACAUAGAAGAUAUAGAUUGAACAAAAUCUCAAAAGAAAAAAGAACCCCCAACUAGACAAGCAAGCAUCCUUUGUUGAUUCAUAGGAUUAAUAUUUUGUGCAGAAGAAAAACUUUCAAGCAGGAAAAUACCAAGAAAUACUGCACAAACAUUGGUCCACUUAAUAUCAUCAAGGGAUUCAAAGUUAUGUUUUAUUUGUGCAAACACGUCACUACACAGACUUAACAAGUAUGGAAACUAAAUAUAUUUGGUUGACCAUGGCACCAUAUUUUUGUCUUUGUAUACAGAUCAAGUAUGGUUCUAAUGUAUUGAAUUCUUCUUGCCUAGAUGUUAAUGCUAUCUUAACAUUUCGAAACUUCUACUUUAAAUUUAGGCAUUUACCAUGUCUGUCAUGCAUACAUAAAUGUUUUCGCACAUAUUUCAGGAAUCUGACUGAUAUGACAAAUGCAAGGACUGUUUCAUAAUUGACAGACCGAGAAAUGGAGAAAAACUGCCUAUUUAAUAUCAAAUCGACUAAAAAUUUAAUAAACCAAUUAAUUUCACUAACUGUGUUCUGAAGAUUGACUUGUCG